rnacentral:piRNA from 1 species
GAAGCAGUCGUCUUCGGGUGGUGAUGGA